UACGUAGGGUGCGAGCGUUGUCCGGAAUUACUGGGCAUAAAGAGCUCGUAGGUGGUUUGUCACGUCGUCUGUGAAAUUCCGGGGCUUAACCUCGGGCGUGCAGGCGAUACGGGCAAUACUUGAGUGCUGUAGGGGAGACUGGAAUUCCUGGUGUAGCGGUGAAAUGCGCAGAUAUCAGGAGGAACACCAAUGGCGAAGGCAGGUCUCUGGGCAGUUACUGACGCUGAGGAGCGAAAGCAUGGGUAGCGAACAGGAUUA
rnacentral:rRNA from 1 species